AACAUACACUAUUAAUAUACGUUAACUUCUUCCCUGUUGACAGAGCUUUACGACCCAAAGACCUUCUUCACUCACGCGGCGUUGCUGCGUCAGGGUUUCCCCCAUUGCGCAAAAUCCCUCA
rnacentral:rRNA from 1 species